rnacentral:sRNA from 2 species
GACUACUGGUCGACAGAAGUGCAUCGGCAGGAGUGGAGGACCCAGGCAGUACGGAACCGCCGGACCAUGUCCGAUCCGGAAGUUCCUCGGGGUGAAGCCGCGUCAGCGGCCGGGCACCUUCGUCCGCCCGAACCCGACAGGUCAUCCUUCACAGGCGGCUGACGAAGGGUUGC